CCGCACAAGCGGAGACAUGUGGUUAAUUCGAUGAUACGCGAGGAACCUUACCUGGGCUUAAAUGUAGAGUGCAUUUUUUAGAGAUAGAAAUUCCCUUCGGGGCUUUCUGCAAGGUGCUGCAUGGUUGUCGUCAGCUCGUGCCGUGAGGUGUCGGGUUAAGUCCCAUAACGAGCGCAACCCUUAUCGUUAGUUGCCAGCUGGUAAAGCAGGGGACUCUAGCGAAACUGCCACCGUAAGGUGAGAGGAAGGUGGGAUGACGUCAAAUCAGCACGGCCCUUAUGUCCAGGGCUACACACGUGUUACAAUGGUCGGUACAGAGGGCAGCUACCUGGUGACAGGAUGCUAAUCUCGAAAACCGGUCUCAGUUCGGAUCGAAGUCUGCAACUCGACUUCGUGAAGCUGGAUUCGCUAGUAAUCGCGCAUCAGCUAUGGCGCGGUGAAUACGUUCCCGGGCCUU
rnacentral:rRNA from 1 species